rnacentral:rRNA from 1 species
AACGAACGCUGGCGGCAUGCCUAACACAUGCAAGUCGAACGAGACCUUCGGGUCUAGUGGCGCACGGGUGCGUAACGCGUGGGAACCUGCCCUUAGGUUCGGAAUAACUCAGAGAAAUUUGAGCUAAUACCGGAUAAUGUCUUCGGACCAAAGAUUUAUCGCCUUUAGAUGGGCCCGCGUAAGAUUAGCUAGUUGGUGGGGUAAAGGCCUACCAAGGCGACGAUCUUUAGCUGGUCUGAGAGGAUGAUCAGCCACACUGGGACUGAGACACGGCCCAGACUCCUACGGGAGGCAGCAGUGGGGAAUA